rnacentral:rRNA from 1 species
UACGAAGGGGGCUAGCGUUGCUCGGAAUGACUGGGCGUAAAGGGCGCGUAGGCGGAUGGCACAGUCAGAUGUGAAAUUCCCGGGCUUAACCUGGGGGCUGCAUUUGAUACGUGUUGUCUUGAGUUCGGAAGAGGGUCGUGGAAUUCCCAGUGUAGAGGUGAAAUUCGUAGAUAUUGGGGAAGAACACCGGUGGCGAAGGCGGCGACCUGGUCCGACACUGACGCUGAGGCGCGAAAGCUAGGGGAGCAA